rnacentral:misc_RNA from 1 species
CUGAUUUCUGCCUAGGUAGGUUGAGUCUUUCGGGACUCCUUACCAAAGCGAAUACACCACUUGUGCACUAUAAAUGUCUUUUGGGUCAUUUUGGGAAGUCAUCUUAUAGAUGAUAACCAAGGGGCCCAGCUUUUUAUAAACCAAUUAAAUUUUUGUCUGAAAUAAAUCUAGUAAUAGAAA